UCGUAACAAGGUUUCCGUAGGUGAACCUGCGGAAGGAUCAUUACUGAGUUAAUUGCGUCGAAAGACGCAGACUUCUCCCAUACACUUGUGAACUUUGUACUCUUGCUUUGCGUAUACAAAGCAGAGUGCGAGGAUUUAAUUUAAACUCUGUGCUAAACUAAUGCAGUCGAAAUCAAAUUUAUAAAAAAUUGAAUCAAAACUUUCAACAACGGAUCUCUUGGUUCUCGCAUCGAUGAAGAACGCAGCGAAAUGCGAUAAUUAGUGUGAAUUGCAGAAUUCAGUGAAUCAUCGAGUUUUUGAACGCACAUUGCGCCUUCUGGUAUUCCAGAGGGCAUGCCUGUUUGAGCGUCAGUUCUCUCUCAAACCUUUGGUUUGGUAUUGGGUAGAUAUAUGCAUAUACAUUUUGGAAUGCAUUAGCCCAAAAACAAUUGGCAAGGCGUUUUCUGUCUGGAUCAACGUACUAGGUUUUACCGUCGUUGCCCAUCAGGAAAGAAAGUCUGGCCUUAUAACCAAAACUUUUUUAAGUGUUUGACCUCAAAUCAGGUAGGGAUACCCGCUGAACUUAAGCAUAUCAAUAAGCGGAGGAAAAGAAACCAACAGGGAUUGCCUUAGUAACGGCGAGUGAAGCGGCAAGAGCUCAAAUUUGAAAUCUGGCGUCUUACGGCGUCCGAAUUGUAAUUUGUAGAGGUA
rnacentral:misc_RNA from 1 species